CGCGGAGUUGAGUAAUGGCAGCUCGAGAGGCUCAUAACCUCUAGGAGUAGGUUCGAUUCCUACCUCCGCAA
rnacentral:tRNA from 1 species